rnacentral:rRNA from 1 species
UACGUAGGGGGCAAGCGUUGUCCGGAAUUAUUGGGCGUAAAGAGCGUGUAGGCGGCCAGGUAGGUCUGCUGUGAAAACUCGAGGCUUAACCUCGAGAUGUCGGCGGAAACCAUCUGGCUAGAGUCCGGAAGAGGAGAAUGGAAUUCCCGGUGUAGCGGUGAAAUGCGCAGAUAUCAGGAGGAACACCAAUGGCGAAGGCAGCUCGCUGAGACGUGACUGACGCUGAGACGCGAAAGCGUGGGGAGCAAACAGG